UUAAGUUCAGCGGGUAUUCCUACCUGAUCCGAGGUCAACCAUUGAAGAGUUUUCCGGCCGGAGUACGCCCUGCACCAGAACGAGAUACAAUACUACGUUCAGUUUCAGGGCGCACCCGCCGCUGUCUUUAGGGGGCUGCAGCGCAGGCCCCCAACGCCAGGCAGAGCCUGAGGGUUGAAAUGACGCUCGAACAGGCAUGC
rnacentral:misc_RNA from 1 species